rnacentral:misc_RNA from 1 species
UUUCCGUAGGUGAACCUGCGGAAGGAUCAUUAUUGUAUAACCGAGGUGCGAGGGCUGUCGCUGACCCGAAAGGUCGUGCACGCUCGAGUGCCCUCACACACAUCCAUCUCACCCCUAUGUGCACCACCGCGUGGGUCCCCCUUUGGCUUGUUCGGAGGGGGGCUUACGUUUUCACACAAACUUUGUAUGCAGUGUAGAAUGUAUUUUUUGUUCUUGCGAUCACGCAAUCAAUACAACUUUCAACAACGGAUCUCUUGGCUCUC